rnacentral:rRNA from 1 species
UACAUAGGGUGCAAGCGUUAUUCGGAAUUACUGGGCGUAAAGAGCGUGUAGGCUGUUCGGAAAGUUCGUUGUGAAAACCCCACUCUCAAAGUGGGAAGUGCAGCGAAAACUACCGGACUAGAGUGUGAGAGGGGAGAACGGAAUUCCUGGUGUAGAGGUGAAAUUCGUAGAUAUCAGGAGGAACAACGGUAGCGAAGGCGGUUCUCUGGAUCACAACUGACGCUAAAGCGCGAAAGCGUGGGUAGCAAACAGG